rnacentral:rRNA from 4 species
GCCAAACAUCUAGCCCAUUAGCCUCACACCUAAAACCAAACAACCAACCAACUAACCAACCAGUCAUAAAACAUUUUUUAAUUCAAGUAAAGGCGAUUAAAAAAAUAAUUAGCGCUUCAACCCCAGUACCGCAAGGGAAAUAUGAAAUAUAAAUGAAACAACUCCAAGCAUAAAAUAGUAAAGACAUCAACUUGUACCUUUCGCAUCAUGGUCUAGCAAGUCCAAGUCAAGCGUAGCGAGCCUCCAGUUUGACCCCCCGAAACUAGGCGAGCUACUUCAAAAUAGCCUCAAGAGCCAACCCGUCUCUGUUGCAAAAGAGUGGGAAGAUUUUCAAGUAGUAGUGACAAGCCUACCGAGCCUAGAGAUAGCUGGUUAUUCAAGAAAAGAAUUUUAGUUCUACCUUAAGCUCAGCCGUGACCACAAACAAACUACCAAGCUUAAGAGCUAUUCAAAUAAGGCACAGCUUAUUUGAAAAAGGCUACAACCUAAACUUUAGGGUAAGCCCAUACAAUACAACCAAGUUGGCCUAAAAGCAGCCACCUUUUAGAAAGCGUUACAGCUUUACUCUCACCAUCACUAAUUCCACAACCCCUCACGAACCCCAUACCAAUAUUGAAUGACUCCAUAACCUAUGGAGGCCACCAUGCUAGAACUAGUAACAAGAAUAUGAAAUUCUCCAAAAUGCAAGCAUAAGCCAAAACGGACCCCCCACUGGCACUUAACGACACUGAACUCACUAUAGCAACACAACUAGAAAACCCUAUUAUAAAGUUCGUUACCCUAACACAAGAGCACUACUGGAAAGAUUAAAAGGGAGAGAAGGAACUCGGCAAAUUUCAACCCCGCCUGUUUACCAAAAACAUCGCCUCUUGUAAAAUAUAAGAGGUCCCGCCUGCCCAGUGACUUAUUUAUUCAACGGCCGCGUGACUUUAAACGCGCAAAGGUAGCAUAAUCACUUGUCCUCUAAAUAAGGACUAGUAUCAACGGCACCACGAGGAUUGUACUGUCUCCUCCCCUCAAUCCGUGAAACUAAUCUCCCCGUGAAAAAGCAGGGAUACCACUAUAAGACGAGAAGACCCCAUGGAGCUUAAAACUAACAACAACCUUUUCACACAUAACCCCAAAGUAUUAAACCCUGUUUGCUAGUUUUGGGUUGGGGUGACCGCGGAGCAAAACAAAACCUCCACAACAAAAGGCACUAAGCCCUCAUCCAAGAACAACAAUUCUAAGAACCAGCACCCUGAUGUCUAACGACCCGAUCAUCGAUCAAUGAACCAAGUUACCCUGGGGAUAACAGCGCCAUCCACUCCGAGAGCCCAUAUCGACAAGUGGGUUUACGACCUCGAUGUUGGAUCAGGAUACCCCGGUGGUGCAGCCGCUACCAAAGGUUUGUUUGUUCAACAAUUAAAAUC